CAAGAGAAUCGCUUGAACCCGGGAGGUGGAGGUUGCGGUGAGCCAAGAUUGUGCCAUUGCACUCCAGCCUGGGCAACAAGAGUGAAACCCCAUCUCAAAAAAAAAAAAAAAAAAUUGGACUGUAUAUGAUGCCAAUUUUUCAGAAGAAAUAAGGUCAGAAGGAGAAAUGAGAGAGUAAAUGUAUUAGCACUGCAAAAAAUGGCUUCUCAGAGGUAAUGGGAUUUGACCUGGGCUUCAAAAGAUGGAAAAAGAUUUAGAAAACUAGAGGAUGUGUAUCAACUCUUCAAAGUGAAGGGACCAACAUAAGCAGAGUCAGAAAGUCCAAGUGCAUGUGUGCAGGGGGCAGAGAAGAGACCACCAGCUUGAAGAAUUCUUCCUGAGAAAUAAUAGGAGGUAAAAUUGGGUUGUUAGGGUGGGGCCAAAUUAUAGAGGGCCUGCACAGGAAGGCAGAGGAAUUUGGAUUUGAUGUGGGAGUCAGUGAGGCUUUCUAAAUUAUUGAGUAGUGGUUUAAGAGGUUACCCUGCUGCGUGGUACAGGAGAAAUGAAAGAAUCUAAGAGCAGCCAGCAAUCCAGAGAGGGGUAAGGGGUCACAGGGUGGAGGCAGUAGGAGUCACAGGCCAAAUCUGAGAGUUGCAGCGGAGGAGUCACUUGUGAGUCUUCUGAUGCCUGAGGAUGAGAGAGGAAGAAGAAGGCAAUAGAGGUGACUCCAUCAAUUAUAGUUGUGCCUUUAAUUUUAAAAAGGACAAAUGAGCAAAUCUGGGUCUUGGUAGUAAUAUUUGAGUUUGGCUUUAGACAUGGUGAAUUACCUGCAAAUGAUGAACUAAGGGGUAGUAUUCUGAAGAUCUAAAAUAGGCAUUGGGGAGUCCCUCUGAGCCUUUUCUGGCUCAGGAGGUUGCCGAUAAAAUUUAAAAAAAUAAAAUAGGCAUCGGAAUCCAUGAAACGUAUGGUUUCUCUAAGGGAGGCAAGUUAGAAAUGAGCAGAAACAGAGGCAGGGGCUGGGGCUAAGGGCCUGGCUUGUGGAGUCUGAAGAUGAGUCAGUAAAAAAGCUGCUGGAGACACCAGAGAGGAACUGAGAAUGAAUAAUAUCCUUGAAGAAGAGAGAACCAUUGUUUCAAGAGGAGGAUGAAGAUGCAAAUAGUCAGAGGUGUGAGUUGGAGCCAGGAAUCUCUACAAACUCAUUCCAG
rnacentral:lncRNA from 1 species